rnacentral:rRNA from 1 species
UACAGAGGUCUCGAGCGUUGUUCGGAUUCAUUGGGCGUAAAGGGUGCGUAGGUGGCGCCGUAAGUCGGGUGUGAAAUUUCGGAGCUUAACUCCGAAACUGCAUUCGAUACUGCGGUGCUUGAGGACUGGAGAGGAGACUGGAAUUCAUGGUGUAGCAGUGAAAUGCGUAGAUAUCGGGAGGAAUACCGAUGGCGAAGGCAGGUCUCUGGGCUGACACUGACGCUCAUGCACGAAAGCGUGGGGAGCAAACAGG